UACGGAGGGGCGAGCGUUAUUCGGAAUUAUUGGGCGUAAAGGGCGCGUAGGCGGCUGUACAAGUCGAAAGGUGAAAUCCCUCGGCUCAACUGAGGAACUGCCUUUGAAACUGUACGCUUGAGGCCGGGAGGGGUAGCGGAAUUCCCAAUGUAGCGGUGAAAUGCGUAGAUAUUGGGAGGAACACCAGUGGCGAAGGCGGCUACCUGGACCGGUUCGUGACGCUGAGGCGCGAAAGCGUGGGUAGCAAACGAGG
rnacentral:rRNA from 1 species